AGUCCUCGAUUACCUCGGCUAAGUUGUAUUUUCCAUGUCGUUAUUUCUUGUAAUCCUUCGUUUUCCCCCCCUGUUCUCGGCUCUCGUUAUUUAGCAACGCGACAGAGCUCCGGAGCUCAGCCUGGACGCGGGUGGCUUGCGGGGAGCUUCGCUAGAGAUCGUCCCCGGACACUGCAUGAGUGGAGAGUGAGAGUUAGCCUACAUACAACGCGACUCGUUUCGCUGCUCUGUGCACAGGCAGUAUUUGCCUCGACUCCACGGCUUUACCUCCCUCGGUGUUGCACAAUGGGUUGCUAUAAUUUAUUCAUGAGAUCAUGAGGGAUGUUGGUUCUCUGUCGGAGGAGUGAACGCUGCUGCCACUGGGCUGUACCUGAGUGUCAGGCACAGAAGGCCUACAGUACUAGCAUGGAGCCGAGUUCCUGGUGGUGGUCAACUCUGCUGAACUGGCUCGGUCCACCUUUCACCCAGCACAUGUCAGCAUGGGGCAGGAGGAUGCAGAGAGUGUCCAGCUCACCCCCGGCAGUCUACCUGCCAGCCUGCAUGUCAGCACUGCAGCUUGAAUAGCAGGGGGGACACUGGGGAGGAGUUACCAGGCCAUGAACAAACACAAAGAGAAGGUCAAGAAAGGUCACACCCAGUCACACCCUCAUCAGGACUCAACAACACUGGGGAAAAUUCCAUCUGAGAGGGAGAGAAAAAUCUCAGGAAAGUAGAGAGACACAGACAAGGAGAUAAGGAGCAGGACUGGAGAUAAUGACUGAGAAAGGAGACAGACAAACAGAAACGAGGGGAAGAAGAAGAAGAAAGGCUUGCACAAGAGUACAUGACAAACACAUCUUACCUUAACCAUCUCCCACAUCCUUUCCACUCAAACAGAAAGCUACAUUGAAGGCUACACCAUGUGAGCCAAGCAAAUCCUGCCUCAGGAACAGUGCCAAUAUUUCAUUGACACAGGUUAAACUCUGGCUUCUUUCUCAGUAAUUUCAUACAGAUUUUCUGACUUGACCCACAGCUGUUCCAAGAUUUUACAUCACCUCAGUGGUAAGGAUCAGCUGAUCCAUUAUUAAUUACUUGAUUAACAAACUUGUUCGCUACACUAGGUUUCCCAGAGUCCCUCAGCUAGUGGCUUACUCCAUUUAGACUGACAUAUGAGCAAAUAACACUGUACCACUAAUAUUAGCAGUACCACACAGAUAUACCAUCCACCAGGACACAAAACACUUUUGCACAUGAAAAUCACUGACUAAAUCAGUAAAAAUCUCUUUGCAUUGAGAAAUAUCUUGUCUUCUUAAUUACGAUUGAAAGAUGACUACAGCUUUGUAUAUGCAGUAUUCAGUGCUUCUAGUAUCCACAACAUUCCUGCCAUUUUAAUGCUAAUACUAUUAAAUAUAGAACUUCAUCUUUCCCAUGCUUGGGGCAUGUUGUUGAUCUCUUCCUUGCCGAAGACCCCAGGGAAAUAUUCAUUCAUCAGCCAUUUCCUUUAUCAUCUCAGAAACUUUGCCAUUAUCAUAAUCUCUGAGACAUAAUUUUUAUCCUGCACCAUUCUUUUGCCGACAUGAUACGUGUCACAACAUGACACAAUACUUAACAAAAUAAAACUUUAUUUAUUACUCUC